CUCAGGAAGAACUCAAGGGCACGACUUGACUGGGCACGGUAGCUGAAGAACACAGGAAUCCUCACAUAGGCUUCUAGCCCUUCUGCCUCCCCGCAGGUCUGCAAGUCUGUGCCUGAGAAC
rnacentral:miRNA from 1 species